rnacentral:rRNA from 1 species
GACAGAGGUGCCAAGCGUUAGGCGGAAUCACUGGGCUUAAAGCGUGUGUAGGCGGGCGGGCAAGUACCUUGUGAAAUCCCACGGCUCAACCAGUGGAACGGCUGGGUAUACUGCCUGUCUUGAGCCAGCUAGGGGCGACCGGAACAGACGGUGGAGCGGUGAAAUGCGUAGAUAUCGUCUGGAACGCCAAAGGUGAAAACAGGUCGCUGGGGCUGAGCUGACGCUGGAGACACGAAAGCCAGGGGAGCGAACGGG